rnacentral:rRNA from 1 species
GAUGAACGCUGGCGGCGUGCCUAAUACAUGCAAGUCGAGCGAACAGACGAGGAGCUUGCUCCUCUGACGUUAGCGGCGGACGGGUGAGUAACACGUGGAUAACCUACCUAUAAGACUGGGAUAACUUCGGGAAACCGGAGCUAAUACCGGAUAAUAUAUUGAACCGCAUGGUUCAAUAGUGAAAGACGGUUUUGCUGUCACUUAUAGAUGGAUCCGCGCCGCAUUAGCUAGUUGGUAAGGUAACGGCUUACCAAGGCAACGAUGCGUAGCCGACCUGAGAGGGUGAUCGGCCACACGGGAACUGAGACACGGUCCAGACUCCUACGGGAGGAAGCAGUAGGGAAUCUUACGCAAUGGGCGAAAGCCUGACGGAGCAACGCCGCGUGAGUGAUGAAGGUCUUCGGAUCGUAAAACUAUGUUAUUAGGGAAGAACAAAUGUGUAAGUAACUAUGCACGUCUUGACGGUACCUAAUCAGAAAGCCACGGCUAACUACGUG